rnacentral:rRNA from 1 species
CCUACGGGUGGCACCAGUGGGGAAUAUUGCACAAUGGGCGCAAGCCUGAUGCAGCCAUGCCGCGUGUGUGAAGAAGGCCUUCGGGUUGUAAAGCAUUUUCAGCGGGGAGGAAGGCGGUGAGGUUAAUAACCUCAUCGAUUGACGUUACCCGCAGAAGAAGUACCGGCUAACUCCGCGCCAGCAGCCGCGGUAAUACGGAGGGUGCAAGCGUUAAUCGGAAUUACUGGCGUAAAGCGCACGCAGGCGGUCUGUCAAGUCGGAUGUGAAAUCCCCGGGCUCAACCUGGGAACUGCAUUCGAAACUGGCAGGCUAGAGUCUUGUAGAGGGGGGUAGAAUUCCAGGUGUAGCGGUGAAAUGCGUAGAGAUCUGGAGGAAUACCGGUGGCGAAGGCGGCCCCCUGGACAAAGACUGACGCUCAGGUGCGAAAGCGUGGGGAGCAAACAGGAUUAGAUACCCCGGUAGUC